AGUUGAAGGCUGCUAAGGCGAGCCUGGAAGAGCAGGUGGUCGACCAUCAGAAGCUGACCGAGGACAACGCCUACCUACGGGCUCAGGUUGAGUCUCUCGAGGAAAGGUCCGUCCUCUGGCAGAUGAGACCGAGGAGGAACGCGCCUUUGGCUCGCGCGGUGAGCUGCUAGGGCAUAUCCGGACUCUCAACCAAGAUCUUGUGGCCUGCUUCAAAGAGGUUUCGACAUGCUGUCGAGCAGCUCGGGCUUCUGACCCUGAGUUGGUGACGGAAGGGUCGGCCUAUAACUGCUGCGUCCGGAUGGUGAGAUCAUCUGCCGGUUUGAAGUGGAGGAGGAGCUGGGGGAGAAGAAGAAGAAGAGGAUGAAGAGGAGCUCCGAGCGGAUCUUAGUUUAUAUGUUUUUCUUAUCAUGGCCUGCGUGCCUCAUGUAUUUUGGCCUUCGGGCGUUGUAAUAUGGCCUUCGGGCGUACUUGCUUCGCCGCCUUUGUCGUUUCUAAUGUAUGAAUAUUUUUGUUACCGUUCAUUGUGCUCGUUUGUGUUUGAUAUUUGUUUGCAUGAAUUCGUACUCUGCUCGACUUUGUUAAUCUCCUCGGUUU
rnacentral:lncRNA from 1 species